CCUACGGGGGGCAGCAGUGAGGAAUAUUGGUCAAUGGACGAGAGUCUGAACCAGCCAAGUAGCGUGAAGGAUGACUGCCCUAUGGGUUGUAAACUUCUUUUAUAUGGGAAUAAAAUGUUCCACGUGUGGGAUUUUGUAUGUACCAUAUGAAUAAGGAUCGGCUAACUCCGUGCCAGCAGCCGCGGUAAUACGGAGGAUCCGAGCGUUAUCCGGAUUUAUUGGGUUUAAAGGGAGCGUAGGGGGAUUGUUAAGUCAGUUGUGAAAGUUUGGGGCUCAACCGUAAAAUUGCAGUUGAAACUGGCAGUCUUGAGUACAGUAGAGGUGUGCGGAAUGCGUGGUGUAGCGGUGAAAUGCUUAGAUAUCACGAAGAACUCCGAUUGCGAAGGCAGUUCACUGGACUGCAACUGACACUGAGGCUCGAAAGUGUGGGUAUCAAACAGGAUUAGAUACCCCAGUAGUC
rnacentral:rRNA from 1 species